CUACUCGGGUUUCUAAUCCUGUUCGCUACCUACGCUUUCGUCCAUCAGCGUCAGUAUAUUAUUAGUGAUCUGCCUUCGCAAUCGGUAUUCUGAGUAAUAUCUAUGCAUUUCACCGCUACACUACUCAUUCUAACCACUUCAUAAUAACUCAAGACAAUCAGUAUCAAUGGCAGUUCUCCCGUUGAGCGGAAGACUUUCACCACUGACUUAACUGCCCGCCUACGGACCCUUUAAACCCAAUGAUUCCGGAUAACGCUUGGAUCCUCCGUAUUACCGCGGCUGCUGGCAC
rnacentral:rRNA from 1 species